rnacentral:rRNA from 1 species
UAAUAACUCAUACGUGUUCCAUGCUGGAAUGCUCGAACACCGAAAAGCUCCGGCGCCACUGGAUGUGACUGCGGCCGAUUGGGUAGACGGUGGGGUAACGGCCCACCGUGCCGAUAAUCGGUACGGGUUGUGAGAGCAAGAACCCGGAGACGGAAUCUGAGACAAGAUUCCGGGCCCUACGGGGCGCAGCAGGCGCGAAACCUUUACACUGCACGCACGUGCGAUAAGGGGACUCCAAGUGCGAGGGCAUAUAGUCCUCGCUUUUUGCGACCGUAAGGAGGUCGCAGAAUAAGAGCUGGGCAAGACCGGUGCCAGCCGCCGCGGUAAUACCGGCAGCUCGAGUGAUGGCCGAUCUUAUUGAGCCUAAAGCGUCCGUAGCCGGCCACGAAGGUCCGUCGGGAAAUCCAUCCGCUUAACGGAUGGGCGUCCGGCGGAAACCACGUGGCUUGGGGCCAGAAGGCUCAGGGGGUACGUCCGGGGUAGGAGUGAAAUCCCGUAAUCCUGGACGGACCAUCGAUGGCGAAAGCACCCUGAGAGAAUGGACCCGACGGUGAGGGACGAAAGCUAGGGUCUCGAACCGGAUUAGAUACCCGGGUAGUCCUAGCCGUAAACGAUGCUCGCUAGGUGUGA